UCAACCUAACCGCCUGUCCGUGACUCACCCCUCCAGGCGAUGACCGUGUCUUUCUUCUUCUCGGCUGGCGGCGCGGCCGAUGUGGUCGUGCAUGCAGGACAGGAAGCACGGCGACCUGCAUCUGUGCGGAGGAGAAACUCAGGCCGCGGUGGCGCGCCGCCCUGUUGCCGUUUUCCAUGUCGUCACCAAUGCAUCACUGUGUGCCCAUGCGCUGCCGAUCUUGACUUCGAUCCCCCCUUACCCGUCGACGCCUCCAGCUCGCGACCUCCCAGGCCGCCGGAGCCCUGCAGGCCUGUGUCACCUCGCCACCAUCUCGACCUUGUGUUCGCCUACACCGUCAGUGCCUUGCCCUCAAGCGCCACCAGAGCCCUUGGCCCCGCGUCUUGAUAUGUGGCGAGGUGCAGCCUUGGCUAGGCUGGAGCCAAACCCGGCAAUGGCUACAAUGGCAUCGACUUCUUAGCUGCCAAACUGGGUGAACUGCCAAGCGUUGGAGCUUUUCCUUCUGCGUGUUAUGGCACUGAGAUUUGUACCGGGACUUGUGGCAUGAGAAGAGAUGCUAAGGAGAGAGAACUGAAUGCGUUGCUUGCUUCAUCCAGAGGUGCAAGCAGGAGCCGGAGGCUUUGAGAGCAUGCUAUCAUGGUUAUGAACAUGUAUGGAUUAGCAACAGGGAUACAGUCACUGUAGUAAGAAAUGCCUGGUGAACUGAAUCAAGAAUGGCCUAAUUGUACCUUGCCUUUUCUGUCACUGACAAGGACGAUCUGCUGGGCGGCGUCAGGCCGUGUGGCACGCCGGUCAAGGAGUUCACCUUCGCCGCCGCACUCAUAGCAUUUGGCAUGCUCGGUGUCGUCACCCCGUCUUCAUAGCCGUUGUCUGUCCAUCGUGUCGGCGGCGAGUACUCCCAACGUGAGACGAAUAUCUCUCUAUUUACUACUUCCUCAUCCAAGGGAGUAUCUGCCUACCCCGAUUUUAUCAUCGAACAAAAAAGAACUAUCUAUCCAAAUCCGAUUGAAAUUUACAGUUGCUUUGUUAGCGAGAGUUGAGUUCUGGACUGGGGAAUUCAGAAGGGGUUUCCCCAUGUAGGAGCAUCGAUCAGUUGAUGUCUUUUGAGUCAUUUGUAUUUUGUAUCUUUGAGGCAACUUAAACUUUUCAUUUCUAUUGUUGGUAUGAAUAAAAAUCUAUAUGUCUGAAGUUCUCCAUGUCUGGCUGAACUGAUUGUGUUUGUUUGUUAAUUUAUGCAGUUCUGUAGAUAGAUAUUUGGUUAUGCUGAAUUGCUGUAUUUAAGCCGAUAUGUAGGAAGAUACUUGAUUAUGCAGAAUUGUUGACCAUAGAAAAGAGAGAUUUAGAUAUUUUUUGUGUUAAUAAAUUUGGAGGAAGCGUCCUAUUUUUUCACCCUGUAAAAAGUAAGCAUAGCUAAUUCCAGGUCGUGCAUGUUACUAGAUAGUGAAGGGUUUUCAUGGAUCUGGACCAUGGUUUUGGGUACCGCCCGAGAAAACCGGUUACCGGGCGGUUACCGUGUUUCCCAGUACCCCACGAGAAAUCAACUUCUCAAGCAAAAAAUUCCGAAAAUUUGAAUUUGAAUGAAUUUUGAAUGGAUUUUUGACGAAUUUUGUUCGGAUUCAAAAAAAUCGUCUGAAAUUUGCUCGGUAACCGUGGUAACCGAGUUUCUCGGUGACCCACGAGAAAAAAGUGCCCCUCGGUAGCCAAAACCUUGAUCUGGACUGGUUGUCCAUUUUCCCCCUUUUUUGCCAUCAUGCCAUCAUUCAUUCUGCCAGACAGUGAAGAAUAUUUGUAGUUUUGGACUGGUUGACCCCCCCCCCCCCCUCUUUGCCAUCAUGCCAUCACUAUUUACCUAUAUUACAUUAUUCAGAUCAUGAUUUAGCUGAGAGCGUUGUUAUUUUGUCAGAGUUUUGUAAACAUGGAGAUACCUUGGAGCUUAUUUGCCUAUCCUCUGGGCUUGGUCUGUUUAGUAACUGUGGGUUCUGCUAUGCAUUUAAAAGCAGGUUUUUUAUGCCGAACCAGCAUAGUACUAUCUUUAACUAUUACAAGCAGUUAGUUCUCUCUGUUAUCAGAAGCACUGUGUAGUUAUCUCCUCUCCGUUAGCAAGUUCUUUACAUUUGGUCACAGAUUUAAAAUUUUCACGGAUCUAAAUGUGUGAUUUAUUCAACUUUGUUACUCUUCCGAAAAGUCCAUACACUGCUCUUUUUAUAGGUUUAUCUGAAAUGGGCACAAGAAAGCCCAAUCCGGAAACAGGAAACUAACUUCUUUAGUUUUUAACCACAAUCAGGACAGUCGAAGCUAGCUAAUCCUUCUUUCCAAGGAAUUUUUUGUUGUCUACUCGAGCUAAAUAUGUUCAGUAUAAAAAAAAUUAUCAGUAAGAUUGCACCUGGUCUUUCAAGUGCUCUAAACGAGCAAGGAAUCCGAUGUUAAAGUUUAUCUUUGGCUGAAUAUACAUGCUUUGAUUGAAAUAUGACUUUUCCAUUUUCACUUAAUUGGCUCCAUAUGUUUGAUUAAGAAACAAUUCAGAGUUAGCAUGCUGAAGUAAUUUUACUAUUUGAAUGAAUAACCGCCUCUUUUUUUAAGUCAUGUUUGCAUGAU